ensembl:ncRNA F13D11.9 ncRNA
GCGAGGCUGGCACCGGCUAGCUCCGCCGUGCGGCAGAGAAAACAGGGUGGUCAGCUGUGGCGUGAAAAUAGUGUGCAAUAGAGAAAUGGUCACUCCACGGGCCUCAUCAGUUAUGACGGGAGGGCACGUUUGCCAUAGGGCGUGCCCUCUCGGUUUUCUUUGCACUCUCGCUUGUUUUGCAAAACAGAACAACAACACUGCAAAAAGCGAACGG